CAGUCGCCGCGGGAAUACAGAGGAUGCGAGCGUUAAUCGGAUUUACUGGGCGUAAAGCGUGCGUAGGCGGCUUUUUAAGUCGGAUGUGAAAUCCAAGAGCUUAACUUAGGAAUUGCAUUCGAUACUGGGAAGCUAGAGUAUGGGAGAGGAUGGUAGAAUUCCAGGUGUAGCGGUGAAAUGCGUAGAGAUCUGGAGGAAUACCGAUGGCGAAGGCAGCCAGCUGGCCUAAUACUGACGCUGAGGUACGAAAGCAUGGGGAGCAAACAGGAUUAGAUACCCCCGUAGUCCCUGUCUCUUAUAC
rnacentral:rRNA from 1 species